rnacentral:rRNA from 1 species
GACAGAGGCCUCAAGCGUUAGGCGGAAUCACUGGGCUUAAAGCGUGUGUAGGCGGAUCGUUAAGUGUCUUGUGAAAUCCCACGGCUCACCCGUGGAACUGCUGGGCAUACUGGCGAUCUUGGGCCAACUAGGGGCAACUGGAACAAGCGGUGGAGCGGUGAAAUGCGUAGAUAUCGCUUGGAACGCCAACGGUGAAAACAGGUUGCUGGGUUG